rnacentral:rRNA from 1 species
UACGGAGGAGGCAAGCGUUAUCCGGAAUUAUUGGGCGUAAAGCGUCCGUAGGUGGCACUUCAAGUCUGCGGUCAAAGACCGGGGCUUAACCCUGGAAAGGCCGUGGAAACUGAAGUGCUAGAGUGCAGUAGAGGUAGAGGGAAUUCCCGGUGUAGCGGUGAAAUGCGUAGAGCUCGGGAAGAACAUCGGUGGCGAAAGCGCUCUACUGGACUGCAACUGACACUGAGGGACGAAAGCUAGGGGAGCGAAUGGG